AGAGAUGGCACUGAUGGACUCCAGGGGGGCAACUGAUGUCAUCUCCCUGGACUUGAGCAAGGCCUUCGAUGUGGUCCCGCACCACUUCCUUCCCUCUGACUCAGAGGGAGGUGGGUGCAAAGGAUGGGCUGUGGGGUGGACGUUCAACAAAGCCAAGGGGGUGCGUUCAGAGGGGGAAUUGAUCUGGAUAGGUUGGACAGCCGGGCUGAAGCCAAUGGGAUGGGAUUCAACAAGACCAACUGCCGGGUCCUGCACUUUGGCCGCAAUAAGCCCAGGCAAUGCUACAGG
rnacentral:lncRNA from 1 species